rnacentral:lncRNA from 1 species
AUGUUUCCUUCCCUACAAGUGUGAGGACAUAAUCCUACAUGGGUCCAGGAAGAAAGUAUUGGAUGUUCACUGCCAUUCCGAGGGGAAGCAGAGGGUGACAAGCUGAGAGAAAGGAAAUAAACGACCUUCCUGCUUAGGGAGGUUCAAACUAGAACCAUAAACAAAGUCCAGCCUCAGGAGUUCCACAGUCACCACCAGGCCAGUGGUAUUCCAGAGAACCCUCCCCAAUAGACUUCCUACAAUACAAUCUCCAAUUCAGAACCUGUUUCCUGGAGUCUUUAAAGAUCUGUAGUGGAUAG